rnacentral:rRNA from 1 species
UACGAAGGGGCUAGCGUUGCUCGGAAUCACUGGGCGUAAAGGGUGCGUAGGCGGGUCUUUAAGUCAGGGUGAAAUCCUGGAGCUCAACUCCAGAACUGCCUUUGAUACUGAAGAUCUUGAGUUCGGGAGAGGUGAGUGGAACUGCGAGUGUAGAGGUGAAAUUCGUAGAUAUUCGCAAGAACACCAGUGGCGAAGGCGGCUCACUGGCCCGAUACUGAUGCUGAGGCACGAAAGCGUGGGAGCAACAGG